rnacentral:ncRNA from 1 species
GAAAAGUCAAUGAACUGGAAUAGUAAUAGAUUUAUUUCUUAAUAGAGACCUCAUGGGUGGUGAAAAUGAGGAAGAGAUAGCUAUGAACUCGCUAGGGAGAUGCUUCUAUGAAAGUAGAUGACGUUACUCGCGUUAAGAGAAGAUAAGAGCAUGAUAUCUUCAUGAACUAAGGUGGUACCGCGGUCAUUCGCCCUUAGG